AUCUAAAUAGUUUAAUUAAAAUGUUGGUUUGUGGUGCCGGUGAUAUAGGUUUAUUUUAGAUU
rnacentral:tRNA from 1 species